GAAGCUCAGGGAUCUGCGAAUGCAGAUCGGUAGAGGAGCAUUGUUAACUGGACGAAGCGGUACCGGAAGGAGCCGUGGACGGUUAAGAAGAGAGAAUGCCGGAAUGAGUAGCGAGAGGAAGGUGGGAAUCCUUCCGGCCGAAUAUCUAAGGUUUCCAGGGUAAAGCUGAUCUGCCCUGGGUAAGUCGGGACCUAAGGCGAGGUCGAAAGACGUAGUCGAUGGACAACAGGUUGAAAUUCCUGUACUAUCCUGUAACAG
rnacentral:rRNA from 1 species